rnacentral:lncRNA from 1 species
UCAAGGUUAGGUGUUGAUCCAAAUUAAAGAAAAAUGGAACCAGUUUAAGUAAUUGAUAGUUUCAUCAUUUACAUUGAAAAAAGGCAAGAAUAAGUUAUAGUCAAGGUUAGGUGUUGAUCCAAAUUAAAGAAAAGGGUCAACUCUGUAUGCUAUGUGACAUGUAAUAAUCUCGUGCGUACGAUUUUCUACUAUCUACUCCACCAAUAUAAAAUAAAAUAAUAUCCUCAAAUUUUUUCUUUUUGCUAAAUUUGUUUGUGCAUUCAAGUGAAUUAUAAAUAAAAUGGCUUAGGGUAUAUAUACUGUGACACCCCAAAUCCGAGUAUUCUUACCCUCAGAUAUUUAGUGUUCACGAUCAUCUACAUUCGAUAACCUGUAUUAUUACAAAAAUUCUUACAAAAUAUAAUAUAUACAUCAAUGUUGUCUAACCUUUAACAUUACAUAACAUGAUACCCAAAAAUAUUACAUCACAUCCAAAAAUAUCUAUUUACAUAGCUAUUUAAUAUAUAUUACAAAGGUUAUAGCUAACAAUACGAUUACUCCUGCAAUUUUCCUUUUCCCUUGUCGGAUGACGACCCUCCAGCCUUUUCAUUUUUAACUGAAAUUCAUUUAGCAAGAAUAAGCAAUAAAAUUGCCCAGCAAGUAAUACUUAUUUAAGUGAAAUAGUUAAUAAGAAAACAAAUAAUAGCUUAAUAACUGAAAAGAGUAUUGUUUGAAUAAAAUCAAGCUGUGACUACGGAGUUAUGUAAAUUCUUUAGAAUAAAGGAAUUUUAAAUGCAAAGAUUAGCAAUAAAAGAUUUAAUUAAGUAAUUGAGGGUCACAAGACCACUGAACUAUGUCCAAGGGUUCAGGUAUCUCUACCUUAACCUUUAUCCGUCAAAGACUGUGGACAACCAUCUUCGUAUGCAGGGGAUCAACCCUUUGUACCUAUGUAUUGUGCACAAACAUAUUAACGCAAUAGCGUAAUUCGGAACCAUAGUCUUCGAUAACAUGUUCCCUAUUUAAAGGGUUGUUCAACUCAGUCUAUCACAUGAGUUCUUAUUAGAAGAAUUCUGAUGAAUAUAACUUCUUGGCGAAUCUUAGAACAUUUAUCAAUUAUGGUCUAGCCGAACUCAAAUGACAUAGACUUACAAUACAAAUUCAUAUAUCAAAGAAAGCUUCAAUAACAUUUGAAUAAUAAUUUCAUAGGAAAGUUACUAAUUGAAGAUGCCAAAUAUUCAUUUCAAGCUUAACAAGAACCUUUGUUCAAGAUUUAUAACUUAGAAAGGAAAGUUAGUAUACUUACCUUCGCGUCGAAAUGUUAUCGAUUCAACUCGUGGUUGUGUGCUCGAGACGGUAUUAUCUAGUACCACACCUAUGUAAUACACAAAAGAUUACUAUAUGGCUUAACACUAAUAUAUUUCAUAAACGUACGUUAAUCUGAACUCAAAUUUUCAAACUUAACAUUCUAACCUUAACUCCCCCCCAUGUGAAUGAACUUGUCAUAUAUAUACAUAACACAAGUUUUUUAUUAUUUUUCAACCAUUUAAUAGCUUAACAUACCUAUUUUCCUGUAAUUAUAUUCAACUCAACUUAUUUAGUUCAUACUAUUUGUUUUAUUAACUUUAGGAUGUAGCUAGAACCAUUCAUAGUUACUACAUCUAAACAUAUUAUGCUUUUAGCUUUACAAUGUAAUUUAAACCAUUCAUAGCUCAAUAUAUAUAAUUAUAUCAAGCCUUUAGCUUAAACUUGCUUUUAAAUGAUUUAUUUCUAAUUUUAUUCAAUUAUUGAAUUUAUUUAUGAUUUUAUAUACUAAUUAUAGACAAUGUAUUAAUUCUUAUGUAAUUUGUUGUCUCAUUAACACCUCACAUGAGUUAGCAUCAAAAGCAUUAAAACAGCCUAGCCGCCCAACCAUUUGCCCAGCUAAACUGCUGCAGCGCAGCGCUCGCGCCCCUGCUGCUGCUGCCUGCUGUAGUGGCAGCCCUCGACUAACAUAGCCACUUUGCACAUUUUUAACUUUUAAAUCAUAAAUUUGAUUGCAACCAAAUUUGAGUAUGUAAUAGAAAGCAUAACAUAGUAUUUUUUAAAAAUAUAUAAACCAUCCAAAUUGGACAUUCCAGACUAGUUUAAUAAAGGCCCGAAACUGCUCUGUUAAAGCAGUUUCUUAACUGAGCUUGAACUAGUUAUUUUUCCCAAAACAGGUUUCUACCCUUUUAAACUUACAAAUACCACUCCAUUUACUUAACAUAGUAUGCUUACAGAGUUCUUGACUUCAAACUUUAUUUAAUAUCAGUAUUUAAGCUAAGCAGCCCCUAUUAGGACUUUUAACAAACAUCAUAUGUGCAACCAGUUUUGGAACUGAUUUCAUAGGAGUUUAUACUUAUUCAAACCCAAAUUUUUCCUCCCUUAUUACUCCGCACAACAACUAGUCUCAUUUUUGCUAACUCAAAGAUAUUGCAGCCACAAAUCAUAUUGUAUCACAUAUAACUAACUAAUUGUUAUAAACUUUUUAUAAAACUUAUACUUACCUUACCACUUCUUGAAUUCAAUUAUGCUUUGAGCUGGAAAUGGACAGCUCUAAUAUCUCCUUGAUGUCUUCAAGUCCUUCCCAAUUCAAAAUUAUAACUUCACCAUCUUUGUACACUUGAAAGUGCAGCCAAAACUAAGGAAUUUGGAAAAGAUUUAAGAAUAGUAGAACUCGGAAUUGAAAGAGAAAGGGAGCAGGUAUGGAAAGUGCGAAUUUUGCUAAGGAAACUGAUUAGGAUCUUGAUUCAGUUAAUAAUAAACAUGGCUUGCUUAGUGGCUGUCUUAAUAUCUCAGCUUUUGCCAGCUCCAACUUACAUUGCUUAGUGGUUGGUUUAAAUAUUUCUUAAACUGCCACCUCCUUCUUACCAAGUGAUUCAUCAGUUUCCACUCUUGGCUUUCUCUUAAUACCA